GAGGCUUUGCCUGGACAGAAGUUACAGAAGAUGAUGGACCCCGCGUGUCCUUUGCUUGUGAUUUCCGCAAGGUACCAACCUGAACAUUGGGACGAGUUGCAGAUUUCGCACUGAAGGAGCGUGAUGUGUUGUUACUGGCACGGAUGGAGACUGUUGUUGCAAAGGUGACUGCUCAGAAGGGGAUUCGGCACCUUCAGAAUCAAAUUGUUGUUGUCCCAUAACUUUGGCUGAUCCUAUUGUUGAAUGCGGCAUAGAAGACUGAUUUCUCAUCCUUGCAGCCAAAGAGUUUGAAUUCUUGGGUAAGCCACUAGGAGCUGAAACAAAUGUUUCUGAAUGACCUGACUUCAUAUUGAACUCGACACUUGGGAGUUGCUUCUGCAACCCCCAUGAUAAUGAUGAAUGGCCCCCUGAUGAUGAUUUUGUGUUAACCUGAAAAUCUUUAGAACAUGAUACAAAUGACGGAGAAUCCAACCGACGGAAAGGAAGACUAUCACAAAAAGAUUGAAUAAGUUUGCUGUCUGAGUUUCCAGAUGAAGGAACAAGGCUCUCAUCAUAACUGAAUGAAUCGAGGUACUAAUGGAUGCAGGACUAAUCCAUGGCCAUUUCCUGCAGGAUAAUGAUGGUGUGAUGCUGUUGCAAAGCAAGAUGACAUAAGCUGCGACAACAAUAGUGGUUAAACUGUCAUGGAGUUCCUUGACCAACGGUUUGAGGUCUGUUAAAUGACCGGAUUGCGGAUUGGUUCAGGUCGGAGAGGCAGAUACCUUGGCGCCAGGAAGCUUCCCAAAUCAGGCCCGUGACAGAUAGGUAGAGCAUGCAAUGCUUAGAAGUCGUGAUGCAGUUGCAAAGAAUGCGUAAUACGCCAAGGGUUGCAUUUGAAAACAUUGAGAAAUCCUUUCCAAAACCUCGUCUGUUGCCGCAUCAAAAUUCCAAUUGAGGGAGUUGGACUGAACUUACGCAUCAAGAUUCAAACAGAAGAGAAGUUCACUGAACCGUUGUUGACAGGAUUCGGCAAUUGCAGGGUUGGUGGAAGUGAACCUGACAUGGGCAAUGCUACUUGUGAAUGAAGGAAUCAUGAUGGAAGCAAGCUAACAUGCAUCUUGGAGGAUAAAUCAUGACUCAUGGGGAAUUCUUUUGGACAUUCCAUUUGCUUGUUUUUUUUGUUGGAUGAUGGAUUAUCAUCAUGCUGUUGUUGGAUUCUUUUUUUGGAAUGAAUUAUUGGAAUGCUUGAAUUUAGAUUCUUGAUGGAGUUUUGAUUGUUCAUUAAGAUUGUAUUUGUAGGAUUUAUGUAAUAUGAUGAACUUGUAAGAAAAUGUUGUGAAAUGCAAUUUGGAACAUGACUUUGUAAUUUAUGGAAAUGUUGUAAUGCUUGUGUAAUGUCAUGGUUUUAUGAUUUAUGCGCUUUGAGCGCAAAUGUAUUUUGGAAAUUGGAAUGAAAUUGGCAAAU